rnacentral:lncRNA from 1 species
GAUCCGAUUAAUUAGAUAAGGAAAGUAACUAAAAAAGUUUUAUGAACCAAAAAUGGAUUGUAAAAAUCUUAAACAAUUCAACUCAUGACACAUAAGCUAUGUUGAGGAAAAGAAAAAAAACAAAGAAAAAAAAAAAACUAAGCUCUAGGGUAGACCACCCUUAGAGCAUAAUCGAGAUUAACUCCUUCAAUUUAUUAGGCGGGGAUUCUCAAAUCGAAAGCUUCUUAUCAUUAGUCAAGUCCAAUUUAGCCGGGAUCUACUCCUUCAACUCGUGACAAACAAACCUGCUGAAGAUUUCAAACAAAACUUUAGAACACUUAGGAAAUAAACAAAAGAAAAAUUGAAGACAUGUUGUCAAAGCUUUCAAAACUAAGGAAAGCUAAAACAAUUUGAAAUUAAAAAAUAGUGAGAUACGAAAAUAAAAUUUCUCAAGUAUACAUGAUAAAAUAAUCAAAUUAAAUGAAAUUAUUAAUAAUUACAAAGAAAAAAAAACACCAUCAAAUUGAAAUUUAGGAUAGCAAAAAAUACUACAAAUAUUUUAUGAUCCAACAAAUUUCUCUAAUCAAAGAAACACGGUGGAGAAAGAAGAAAGAAAUGAGAGGAAUCUUAUUUCAUAUUUCCUCUACCGUGAUAUCUUUGAUUAGAAAAAAUCAAUGGAUCAGAUGCCACAAUGAUUCUUUGGUUAAAUGAAACAGGAUGAAAUUUUUGAGACAACUAGAGAUGUAUUUAUAGGAUAUAAUUAGGGUUUUGUUUUUAGAUUGAAAUCACAAUAUGGGCCAAUUGGUUCACUUUGGAUUGGCCCAAAAUUCCGAAGUUAAUUAUAUAUAGAGCUUCUUUAUAUGAGAGAUUUUUUUGGCACCCCUUCAUUUACUUGCACACCCUACUAAAUAUUCAAAAUAUCCCUGAAUGCUAUUUGGGCAUGCUAUUUGGGCAGCGAAUUGAAUCUGCUACAUAGGUAGCGGAUGGAUAAAAAAUAUUCAAUUUCACCAAUGUUUUAAGAUUUCACACCUCCUAGAGACCCCUUGGAAAUAUUUUUAUAGUUUUUAUCAUCCGCUACUUAAAUUGUGAAAGUGUGAGAUAGCGUUAGACCAAUUUCUAUUUAAGUAGUGAAUUGUAACUAUAUAUAGGCAACCUUCAGACACAAACACUUCCUUCUCCACCAACUUUUUUCCCUCCACUCCAAAUUCUUCCAAAAACCACCAUUUUCACGAAAAUCUUGUUUCCAACACACAAUC